CCGGGGGCGGGGAGCGCUGAGCUCGCGCCAGGCCCGGAAUGUGUCGCUGAGGGGCCGUCUCCGCUCGGAGCAGCUAGGCCGGGCCGGGCGGAGCGAGGCGCGCCGCCGCCUCCCCGCCGCCCGGGCUGCGCCCUCAGCCCUGGCAACUUGUGGGUCUCUUGCUCUGCCCUCUGCUCUCAUCCUUCCCUCGUCUCCGUCCCCUCCCAGGAAAAAGUAAAUAAAUAAGAAGAAACCCCUUAAAUCCAAAUAAGCAAACAAACAGCGAGAUCCAAAAUGUGCCAGCAGUUGGAGCAUCUAUGCCCCGUUAGUUACUGUUUGGGGAUCUGUGUUUUAAAAAGUUCCUGGUGAGAAUUGCAUAUCCAGGCAAGGGCUCAGUCGAGCAUGUCUGUUUGAAGUUACUUAAACUAGUAGAGCCAAAGGGAAAAGGAGUUUGUGUUCAAAAUCUCUCUAAUCGUCCUACGUGAACAGCAUUGUUAGAGUAACUAAGCACCCCGCCCCCCACCCCAACGUAGUUUCCACUCCUGCUGUCCACCUAGCCUACUUUGUUUGGAAUCCCAUUUGCUAUUAAUUGACAGCGUUAAUGACAUUAAUUGCAUAUAGCAUAUCGGCUUGAGCAAAGUGAAUAUCUCUGUUUCCGAAGAGGAAAGGCUCAAUGAAAUGUUACCCACUGAUUCAUAAGGAAAACAAAUACAGUCAGGGAAAUGCAACCCCAGCUUCCAAGCAUGGACAUUUACUUUCCUCACAGGCUUAGGAAAACUUGAAAAGAGGCCGAGGGAAGUGUUUAAUUGAAAAAUUUAAUUAUAACAGACAGUUUUAUUUUUGAUACAACAUAGGUUUUUGAUACAACAUACAUCGAGAAAAAAAUAGGGAGACACUCAGGCUGUAAAAAGCUUCUAUUGUAUUAUUGCUUGUUUUCUUCAUAUAAUAGGGACAGCAAAAU
rnacentral:lncRNA from 1 species